rnacentral:tmRNA from 1 species
GGGGGCGAACUGGAUUCGACGGGGAGUGUAUUGGCGGGAGUAGCACGUCGAGUUCCGUUAACUCGUUAAACAAGCGGAACACUUUAGUUGACAACAACAACUACGCACUCGCAGCUUAAUUGACUGUGACGUCUACCAGGUGGCCCGCCCGAGGCGAUUUGGAUAGGCGCUAUUAAUUCGGGAUAGUCCGGUGACGAUGCCUGUGGUCACCGGGCGAAAAUUACAGGCUGGCGCCAUGUAGCCUGAAACUCGGCGACGGACGCGUGAGAUUAAACGAGUUAUCUAAACGUGUAGAAGCUUUCGUACUUUCCUUCUCGGACGCGGGUUCGAUUCCCGCCGCCUCCACCA